rnacentral:rRNA from 1 species
UACGUAGGGUGCGAGCGUUAAUCGGAAUUACUGGGCGUAAAGUGUGCGCAGGCGGCCGCGCAAGUCGAGUGUGAAAGCCCCGAGCUUAACUUGGGAAUUGCGCUCGAAACUACGUGGCUGGAGUGUGGCAGAGGAAGGUGGAAUUCCACGUGUAGCGGUGAAAUGCGUAGAGAUGUGGAGGAACACCAAUGGCGAAGGCAGCCUUCUGGGCCAACACUGACGCUCAUGCGCGAAAGCGUGGGGAGCAAACAGG